rnacentral:ribozyme from 1 species
GACAUGUUGGCCAAAGACAGAUUCGCAAGGUAGACUAGAGAUAAAGAGCACCACACAGCAAAACAAACAGAUAUACAUGUUUUUUUUUUUUUUUUUUUUUUUUU